rnacentral:misc_RNA from 1 species
AUAAUUUUGUAUAGUAAAUACAUAUCACAUGUUUGCCUUACUAUGUAAUUUUUUCAAUUCACGAUGAAUCCUCACCAUACUGAAUAAAUUAUGUAAGAUGAACUUACUCGGCAUAUCAAGCGAGUUGUUGCUCUUCCCAGUUGCACAUUUGCAAUAUGUCAACAUAACUCUUGAGGGAAUAGAAGAAGUCGCCUUCAAAUCUUUAGUAAAAUGUAUUUUUUUGGAGGUCUGAAUUCAAUAUGUCAAAAAUGAUUGCUUUUGCUACAUUAGGGUGAUCCUAAACUUCAUGGUAAGCUUCUGCCAUGAUCAAUAGCACAGUUGCUGUCCAUCCAGUGAACAGGCGUGCACCUUUCCCUUUCCCUUUCUUGGGAUCAUAUUGUUCCCACAAGUACCCUGUCCGUUUAUAAUUUCCAACGAUAUUUCUUAUCAAAUUGCUCCUCAAUUCAUUAUAGACGGUUUUGGCUCUUUCUCUGUAUGGUCCGGGCUCUUGAGAGUAGUGAUGAAGAGACGAAACGAUCAAAUAAUUCAAGGGUAUCCAGAUAGGCCCUCUCCAAUAUGGAGGAUCAUGCUCCGUAUUCCGUUUCAUAUACAUG